AAAAAGAAGCUGGAAAGACAAAAUUUAUUACUAACUUUAGGAGAUAAAAUGAUUCAGUAAAUGCUGCUGUGAAAGCCUACUGGUCAUAGGAGGAUGUAAAACAUUCCGGUCCAUAUUACUGAGGUGCCAGUUGAAGGAUGAUACCAGAUUUCUGGGAGGAGAUCCUGAAUUUAGACAAAUGACUGCAGAUGGUGAUAUAAAGCUGUACAGAAGACAAAUGGUAGCUGUGGCUUUCAGGAUUUGACUUGCUGUGCUAGGGACCCAUGUGUCUAUGUCACACAUGGAACAGGCAGUGAAUUUCAUACCACGUGCUGGUUCUACUCAGCUGUGUACACACAGAGGGAGCAAGAAGGAGUCUGUCUUCGCAUGGCAAACAGCUCUUGUGGGCAAAGCUGUAUGCAGCUGUAUGCAGCUACACCAGGAGGGAAGUCAGCUCAAACACACACCAAAGAAAGCCUCAAACACACACCAAAGCUCAGAGGUGACACUCAGACUCACCAGGCAGAACUGUUACUGCAGGAUGAAACUCUUCGGAACAAGACUUGGGGUUACCUCAGCUUAGUGCCAGAGAUGUUACAUAAUCUUGCUUUAAGCAUUGUCAGAAUUCUGCUUUUUAAAUGCCACAAAGAGAGAUAGGGCACCCAGAACUGCUUGUCCAGUGUUUCUCAGAAUUUUCUCUCCAAGUUUCUAAUGGUGAAUUGAUUCAUCCCAUUCAAUUGUCAAUGUGUGUGAGCUACAGUAUCUCCGUAAAAAAAAAUAAACUACACAUAGACUUUUCUUCACUAUUUCUAGACAAAAAACCCCUAAGUCGAACAUUCAAUAAUAGUCACAGGGACAUUGGGAAGUCGUGUGGUUUUUGUUUUUUUAUUCCCUUUCUUCCUUUUCCUUUUUUAAAAAUAUAAUCAUAGAUUUGUAUAAGAAAUGACUCUGGAAGAGGCAUAAUACAUCAACAGCCGUGGCAACAGCAUUUAUAAACCAAAAUUCUAGCAGAGAAAAUAGUAUUGCAUUACCAUGCAGUACCAGCAUUUAUAGAUUGAUAUACAAAAAAAGCUCGUUAAUAAGAAAUCAUGAAAUAUGUUAUUUGGAAAUACAGCUGAUGACAUUUGCAUUGCAGAAUUUGCAUAACAAGAAUUCAUACUACCAAAAGAGAAAGCUGCGACUAAACAGGUUGACAAAUUAUUUUUUGAUCUAUGGAUAAAUCUGCUGAUUCAAACUUUUGGAAGGGUGAAAGAGAGGAGCAACUAUCCCAUACAAAAUUCUUCACUUUUUCAUCUGAAACACCACAUUAUCCUCCCAAAAAAGAAAACUGAAAACCUGUAUUCUGCAAAGGCUGAUUGCAACAACUUGCACAAAUGUCAGUGUUUUUUCUGCUCCAUGCUGCUCUGACUCUCAAACAUGUGAAACAGUUCUAUUGGCAGACAGCUGUAAAAUCUCAAACAGUUGUGGGUGCAAAGAUAAAAAGCUUGCAAGGUUUUCUGCAGGUUGACAGCAAGGCACAAAUUCAAAACCUGUUGAAAGAGCUGCUCAAGUGAUAACACAUCAUAACAACACAGUAAUAAUGCUACAGAUAAGCUCUUUCCUAUAUAAGACAAAGCUGCUGAGCAAGAAACGUUUUGUGCACUAAAAAUAAUAACCUGUAAGGUCAGUGUGGAGAUUCUUCACAUUCAGCAGAAUUAGAAAACACUAAUUACAUAUAUUUUAGUUGU